UACGUAGGGUGCAAGCGUUAAUCGGAAUUACUGGGCGUAAAGCGUGCGCAGGCGGUUUUGUAAGUCUGUCGUGAAAUCCCCGGGCUCAACCUGGGAAUUGCGAUGGAGACUGCAAGGCUAGAAUCUGGCAGAGGGGGGGUAGAAUUCCACGUGUAGCAGUGAAAUGCGUAGAGAUGUGGAGGAACACCGAUGGCGAAGGGCAGCCC
rnacentral:rRNA from 1 species